rnacentral:rRNA from 1 species
ACUCGGCAAAAUGACCCCGUAACUUCGGGAGAAGGGGUGCUCUUUAGGGUUAACGCCCAGAAGAGCCGCAGUGAAUAGGCCCAAGCGACUGUUUAUCAAAAACACAGGUCUCUGCUAAACCGUAAGGUGAUGUAUAGGGGCUGACGCCUGCCCGGUGCUGGAAGGUUAAGAGGAGUGGUUAGCUUCUGCGAAGCUACGAAUCGAAGCCCCAGUAAACGGCGGCCGUAACUAUAACGGUCCUAAGGUAGCGAAAUUCCUUGUCGGGUAAGUUCCGACCCGCACGAAAGGCGUAACGAUUUGGGCACUGUCUCAACGAGAGACUCGGUGAAAUCAUAGUACCUGUGAAGAUGCAGGUUACCCGCGACAGGACGGAAAGACCCCGUGGAGCUUUACUGUAGCCUGAUAUUGAAAUUCGGCACAGCUUGUACAGGAUAGGUAGGAGCCUUUGAAACGUGAGCGCUAGCUUACGUGGAGGCGCUGGUGGGAUACUACCCUAGCUGUGUUGGCUUUCUAACCCGCACCACUUAUCGUGGUGGGAGACAGUGUCAGGCGGGCAGUUUGACUGGGGCGGUCGCCUCCUAAAAGGUAACGGAGGCGCUCAAAGGUUCCCUCAGAAUGGUUGGAAAUCAUUCAUAGAGUGUAAAGGCAUAAGGGAGCUUGACUGCGAGACCUACAAGUCGAGCAGGGUCGAAAGACGGACUUAGUGAUCCGGUGGUUCCGCAUGGAAGGGCCAUCGCUCAACGGAUAAAAGCUACCCCGGGGAUAACAGGCUUAUCUCCCCCAAGAGUUCACAUCGACGGGGAGGUUUGGCACCUCGAUGUCGGCUCAUCGCAUCCUGGGGCUGUAGUCGGUCCCAAGGGUUGGGCUGUUCGCCCAUUAAAGCGGUACGCGAGCUGGGU